rnacentral:rRNA from 1 species
UACGGAGGGUGCAAGCGUUAAUCGGAAUUACUGGGCGUAAAGCGUGCGUAGGCGGUUUAUUAAGUCAGAUGUGAAAGCCCCGGGCUUAACCUGGGAACUGCAUUUGAUACUGGUAGACUAGAGUAUGGUAGAGGGGGGUAGAAUUCCUAGUGUAGCGGUGAAAUGCGUAGAUAUUAGGAGGAAUACCAGUGGCGAAGGCGGCCCCCUGGACCAAUACUGACGCUGAGGUACGAAAGCGUGGGUAGCGAACAGG